UAGGGAAUCUUCCACAAUGGGCGCAAGCCUGAUGGAGCAACACCGCGUGAGUGAAGAAGGGUUUCGGCUCGUAAAGCUCUGUUGUUAAAGAAGAACACGUAUGAGAGUAACUGUUCAUACGUUGACGGUAUUUAACCAGAAAGUCACGGCUAACUACGUGCCUAG
rnacentral:rRNA from 1 species